rnacentral:rRNA from 1 species
CCUAACACAUGCAAGUCGAACGGUAACAUGACUAGCUUGCUAGUUGAUGACGAGUGGCGGACGGGUGAGUAACGCGUAGGAAUCUACCCAGUAGCGGGGGAUAAGCCAGAGAAAUUUGGUCUAAUACCGCAUACGCCCUUCGGGGGAAAGCAGGGGAUCUUCGGACCUUGCACUAUUGGAUGAGCCUGCGUGAGAUUAGCUUGUAGGUGAGGUAAUGGCUCACCAAGGCGACGAUCUCUAGCUGGUCUGAGAGGAUGAUCAGCCACACUGGAACUGAGACACGGUCCAGACUCCUACGGGAGGCAGCAGUGGGGAAUAUUGCACAAUGGGCGCAAGCCUGAUGCAGCCAUGCCGCGUGUGUGAAGAAGGCCCUAGGGUUGUAAAGCACUUUCAGCAGUGAGGAAAGGCUAGUAGUUAAUACCUGCUAGCUGUGACGUUAACUGCAGAAGAAGCACCGGCUAACUCCGUGCCAGCAGCCGCGGUAAUACGGAGGGUGCGAGCGUUAAUCGGAAUUACUGGGCGUAAAGCGCGCGUAGGUGGAUUGGUCAGUCAGAUGUGAAAGCCCAGGGCUCAACCUUGGAACUGACCUGAUACUGCCAAUCUAGAAUACGGUAGAGGGUA